UGCGGAGGGAUCAUUACACAAUAUGAAAGCGGGUUGGGACCUCACCUCGGUGAGGGCUCCAGCUUGUCUGAAUUAUUCACCCAUGUCUUUUGCGCACUUCUUGUUUCCUGGGCGGGUUCGCCCGCCACCAGGACCAAACCAUAAACCUUUUUGUAAUUGCAAUCAGCGUCAGUAAACAAUGUAAUUAUUACAACUUUCAACAACGGAUCUCUUGGUUCUGGCAUCGAUGAAGAACGCAGCGAAAUGCGAUACGUAGUGUGAAUUGCAGAAUUCAGUGAAUCAUCGAAUCUUUGAACGCACAUUGCGCCCUUUGGUAUUCCAAAGGGCAUGCCUGUUCGAGCGUCAUUUGUACCCUCAAGCUUUGCUUGGUGUUGGGCGUCUUUGUCUCUCACGAGACUCGCCUUAAAAUGAUUGGCAGCCGACCUACUGGUUUCGGAGCGCAGCACAAUUCUUGCACUUUGAAUCAGCCUUGGUUGAGCAUCCAUCAAGACCACAUUUUCUUAACUUUUGACCUCGGAUCAGGUAGGGAUACCCGCUGAACUUAAGCAUAU
rnacentral:rRNA from 1 species